CAGUCGCCGCGGUAAUACGUAGGGUGCAAGCGUUAAUCGGAAUUACUGGGCGUAAAGCGUGCACAGGCGGUUUGUUAAGACAGAUGUGAAAUCCCCGGGCUCAACCUGGGAACUGCAUUUGUGACUGGCAGGCUAGAGUAUGGCAGAGGGGGGUGGAAUUCCGCGUGUAGCAGUGAAAUGCGUAGAUAUGCGGAGGAACACCAGUGGCGAAGGCGACUACCUGGUCUGGCAUUGACGCUCAUGUGCGAAAGCGUGGGGAGCAAACAGGAUUAGAGACCCCUGUAGUCCCUGUCUCUUAUAC
rnacentral:rRNA from 1 species